rnacentral:rRNA from 1 species
UGCGUAGGCGGGCUAAUAAGUCAGUGGUGAAAUCUCUCGGCUCAACCGGGAAACUGCCAUUGAUACUGUUAGUCUUGAGUUCGGUUGAGGUAGGCGGAAUGUGUAAUGUAGCGGUGAAAUGCUUAGAUAUUACACAGAACACCAAUUGCGUAGGCAGCUUACUAGACCGACACUGACGCUGAGGCACGAAAGCGUGGGGAGCAAACCGGAUUAGAUACCCGAGUAGUCC